GGUUCCAUUUGGGAGAUUUUGAUGCCUCCGUUUAAAGGGGCCUGUAGAGUGACACAGCAGAUGUGAGGCCAUGACGCGGCGCUUUCUGGAUGUGACCCAAACAACCUCCCAACCACAGGGUUGUACCUCUAUAAAGCCAGUCAACAGUAAGAACAACACGCAGAAUCACAGGCUGAGGGAGCUGCGUGGGAAACGGGUCCGCUCCAACGCUGAAGAUGAGGAUGGACACAGAGGCGCCCUUCAUCAAAAUGGCACCGCAUGCCGCUGGACUCUGCUCAUGGAGGAGCGUCUGCGUAACGCCACAGUGGGGGCCUUUGUUCAGGUCCCGCUCCGUGGCCGAUAAUGUCAAACGGUGACUGAACCGUCCCCGUUGCAUAAGACGAUGACGCACUGACCGAGAAUGCAGGACGCGUUGCUUUAUCCCAAGCUGCGACAAAACAAAGCCUUUUCUUCGGUCGCAAAAACCCAAUAAAUGUGGUUUUGUUCCAGGAAUAUUGUGGGAACGUCGCUGAGUCAGAGGAAAAGCAACUGGACGGCGUGGAUGGUCUGUGACCCAGAAGCAGCCGUGUGUUUGGGUCAGAACAUUCAGAGUAAACAUUAAUCUGAUGCCACAGAAGCGAGUCGGCACAGUGUUAAGUAUUGGAGUCAUUCAUUUACAAACGUGCCUCAGCGCAGAGCUUGGAAUCAUUAUAUAAGGCGUCUAUUUUAGCUGGUGAAGCUGGAAGGAUUAGGGCGGCGAGGUGCCUGUCAGAGGCUGGUGGCGUCAGGGUGUUAGUGAGAACAGCUCGGCCAAGAAAGGAGCAGCUUCCAGCGCUGGCAGCUGGGGAGGUGAUCGAGAUACAUGGACUGGCUGUGUGACCACCACAUUCUGCUUUAUCUGUUGUAUUAUAUAUGCUUUUGUUGUAUUUAUAUGUUUUCUUCUUCUUCUUCUUCUUCUUCUUCUUCUUCUUCUUCUUCUUCUUCUUCUCUUUCACCUUUGUGAUGUAACAUGUGGUGGCCACUCAUGUUUUCUUUAGGAACGCCACCUGACCUUUGACCUGUUAACCUUUGGUCUGCUGGUGAACUGUGACUUCAAACACUCUGCAGGUUUUACAUGUUGGUGGCCCCAAACACGAGCGACAGCUUAAACCAACUGACCUCCCGGUCGGCGUGAGCCAGCACGGCGGCGCUGGUCCCCUCCCAGCGUUCCCAGUCGUCCCCGUAGCGGCGCACGGAGGGAGGCUGCAUCACGGCCUCGUGGCUGUUUAUACAGCUGCCCUGUGUUAGCCGCGCACCGGGGUUAUAGCAGAUUAAGUAAAUCUGCUGCAUAACAGGCUUCUUAUCGAGAACUCAGUGUAACUAGGUUUCACUCAUACUCCUCGACAGGGAUCAUCUGGUGGAGGAAUUACUCCGCAGGCGACGAACAGGCACAAUUACCUGCCGCUGACAGCAGCACCUUGACAGGGCCUGGGCUGAGUCCUGCUGCUUCUCAUUCGCUUUGCAUGCGGCAACGCUGGCGUCGCACGCGGCGGGUCCCGCCUCCCUGCUGUUCCACCGCUCGGGCCCAGCUCACUGUGGCCCAUCGCCAGCGCGCGUCAGCUGCGUCCAGCUUUCCUGAUGAAAGGAGCCGUGCCAGGACUCCUGUUGACACACAUCGCUGCUUAUGUAAUGUAGCACAUUGCCCUACAUUGGACCACAGCCACGCGGUCCUGGUGGAUAAUGUGGCCUGCACCGCGCCCGUCCACGUCCUCUGCCUGAUAGGAGGAGGCAGCCGGGACCGUCCUCGGUCGGCGCCGCUGAACCGGGCCGCUGAACCGGGCCGCUGAACCGGGCCGCUGGACCCGGCCGCUGGAAGGAGGCCGGACGCUUGGCAGCAGCGGUAACACACUGUGACAGGUCGACCUGUGUGUUUAAGAACCCGUUUCCUGGUCACGUCCCGCUCUGUUUGCAGCGCUCUCUGUUGCUGCCAGCGCCAUCUGCUCCUGUUUACAGACACUCGGCCCGUUUUAAUAAGGUAUCCGCUCCUUCUUACUGUAAAGCACUUCUAUUUACAAACAGACUGUUCGCACUAUUUUGCUCUGAAAUGUUGGACGUCAAACUUCAAAGAAGCCACAAAAUUUCCAAAAUACACUGUAAUCAUCAUGCUGUUAUUACACAGCCGUUGCUAUGGUAACUGUAGCAAGCUGCCAGUAGAAACUGUGAAGCGCCCGUGUAUUAUGUGCUUUAUCUCCGUAAGCGAGUCACUUUCUGUUUGAGUCACUGUGUCCUCCGCACCCCAUGGCAACCGUGUCUGCCCAGCGCGGUGCGAAACUGUAACGCAAAUCAGAGGCCCUUUUUUGACAGGGAAUAUGAGACUCACAAUCUCUCUCAUCCCGUCCAGAUCAGCUCCACUCAUCAUCACCAACCAUGUCCCCUGUAUAUUCUUCACCUACUGUACAGUACAGGCCCAGAAAUUGAUCCUAGGUGCCUUUCAUUUCAACCCGAUCACGUUUCAAAAUAGUGUUCGAGCAUGUGCUCCCAGUGGAAUGAGAUGAAGGUCAUCUCCAGCUGUCUGAGAUGUUGUUGUCAUUACAACUGGCUGAUCAUGUGACAGGGUCACCUCCUCCGUGUGUGUGUUCAGUCUAUUACAGUACAUCAGCAGCCCCUUUCAUCCUGUCUACUUGGCCUCAUGCUGCCUUCAGGGAGCAGGUCAGACGUAAUCGUAGGGAAUCAAGGGAUUUCCAGGGGACUCUUGUGCACACACAUAUUUGAGAUGCCAAUCAAUAUUCUUCACAUGGGAGACACGUGGGUGAGGACUUGACUGAAAGCACUAGAUCAAGGUUAUGUGGAAGGAGAUGCUGACUGUCAGCAUACAUGUGCUGAACGGGCAACAAAUUUUGGAGGGAUAAUGUAAACAUUUGCCUUUUCAGUAUCACAGGUCCAUUGGGUAGGUCCAUGUUUUCCUCCAGACAAAACAUUUCCAAAGCCAUUAUCCUCAGAAACGAAGCGCAGCGCAGAGGACGACGUCAAGCCUGGGAGCGCGGCGGCUUCUUUAUCUGCUUCCUGUUGACCUCCUCCUGUGUCCACAGCUGUAAGCGAGCGCGUCGGGAAACACCGGCCCCCCCGGAGAGCCAGGCCCGCUGUCAGCAGAGCCGCCGCGAGGCCUUAUAAGGAUGGGACUCUGUCAAUGCAAUCACAGCGGCUGGAGCAGAAAAUAGACUGUGUAACUACCAAAUUAUUGACUGAUGACAGACAGCAGCAUUAACAUAGAGAUGGAAAAGCAGCGCUGAACUGGGGAACUCCCGCCCCUCCCCAGGCCUGAGUCACCAUCAGGAAAGGAGCCAGACCCAGACACAGGCAGCCUUUCACCUAAAUCCCCCCUCAGCCCCUCAACGCCCCCACUCCUAAACCUGCGAGGGCCGUCUGGCCCGUAAACCAGCGCGAGCGGCCCUUUGUUUCUAGGAGAGGCAUAAACACCUGCACAGGAACCUGCUUUUAUUGACCCACACAUACAGUAGCGCUGCCUUCACCGUUACCAUCAACAGGGCUUCAGUGGUUGAGACAUCCGUCCCGUUUGCGCCAUUUUUGUGGUUUUGUUUUUGGUUUGGGCGUCACACGGUUGCUACGGUGACAAUCAUUCGUCGUAAACACCAGCGUGAGAGGAGGAAGUGAAGCCUCCAAAGUUUUUUUCAGUAGGUUCUGAACAUAGUGUGACUUCAUUCCAGUACACAGCACCUGGUAAAUAAAAAAACGUGUGGUCUGAGUCCUGUUAUCAAUUUCACCUCUUAUAUAAACAUUUGUCCACUUGUAUCACAUCCCCAUAAGACAAAUUUUGUUUGUUUUUAGUUACUUAACAGGAAGCCAGCCUGUUGCCACGGCGACAGAGUUCCUCUUCAACCACUGAUUGUUGCUAUUGAAAGCUGCUGAGGCGGGACACGCAGUGCGGUGACAUCAUCGAUGUCUUUCACAGCCAUACUUGGCAGAGAAACACACACUCAGCUCAGCCCGAUUGGCUGCGGACGAUGUCACGCCAGUAGCCUCACACCGCGUUUGUAAAGUGGGCCCGCUGCGUCACGCACUGCUGCUAUAUUCAGUGCUAAAAUCAACACUAUUGUCAGUGACGGCACAAAACCUUCAUUCAUUCACUGCUGCGACCACACCUCACCCCUCAUGACCACUUCAUGGUCACCGGGAGGUUAAAGCAGAUCCAGAGCAUCGAGUGAAUGAAUAAAUGCUGCUUUACUCGUUGGAGAUGUUUCCUUUCAAAUAUUCUUUAAGUACCAAAAUAAUGUUGUGAUGAAAACACUAAGUUGAGGAGCUCUGGGCACAAGCGAGUCUUUCUCAUUAGAACGAUUCUCAUCUAGAGCCGCAGUUAAUGUUUGUUUUCCUAUGGGGUAGAGAAGAGGAGCCUAUUAUUAGCAUCCCACGAGGGUGAGGGGCCCAUAAUUUCUUUUUCCAGCAAUGACCUCAUCUCAACAACACGACUCUAUCCCACUUUUUUUCCCCACUUCCUGAGUCAGCCACUUUUUCGAUUCACAUUCAUCUAUUUUAAGGCUUUAUUUCCAUCGCUCCACCGGUGGGGAGACGUACAUACAGUACAGUAAGUGCGGGUUUUAAUAUGGAAAAGGAAAAUGAGCCUUGAGCGUUAAUGUGGCUGGACACAGGUUUGGCGCUGUGGAGGCAGGAUUAGCAGGACCAAGAUGGCAGAAAUGCCACCGGGUCAGUGGAGUCACCUGCAGCCGGGGUGUUUGAGAGAAAAGCCAGGACUGGAAAUGUGGGUCAAGCCCAGCACGCUGUAAAUCUAUCUGCCUGGAAGCAGAGUGAACAGGCCUGAUGCGGCCGCCAUCGUCGUUGAGCUUAACUGACGUUUUUAAAGUGCAGUCUUUUCCUAAUUCACCACUGACCUACUUACUGAUGACCAAGGCCGUUUUCCUUCAGACGCACCUUUCGCUAACAGUAACUGGACAGGAUGAGCAGCGUCUCUUUCCACGUUCCAGGGUUCCAGGGUCCCAGGGUUCCAGGGUUCCAGGGUCCCAGGGUCCCAGGGUUCCAGGGUUCCAGGGUUCUAGGGUUCUAGGGUUCCUGCACCUGGUUGACCCACGGCGGCCAGAGGCUAAAACCACAGCUGGACUCAUUCCAGAAGCUUCGCCGUGGCCACAGCACAGCUUCUUUUUUCCACCAACAACAACUGGUGCCUCCCUCGAACGUUGGACAAAUAAAAGGUGCAAGUCUCAUGCAGGACGAGCACGUGGCCGUGCCCUGAAGCAGCUACAGGUGUUUAUGAGCUCAAACCCAGGCUGCUGACUUACAUUUACAUGUCCCGUUGGUCCAGGAGCGGGAAAGAGGUGCUAGAGUUGGCGCGAGUGGGAAGAAUGCUGUGGUGUAAGCUGAUGUUGAACCUCAUAAAACUGUAGUAUUUCAUAGGUUGCCUUUGUUGAAUCCAACCUGUCCACAUGUUUAUGGUGUCAGCAGAUCAGGUGGUGAAUCAGAGGCUGCUUUCUUUCUGCUGGUCUCUGGUCCAGGCUCAGUGUGAGUUGUCCCAGCAUUGAAUUAUGCCACAGUAGUGUCAGAUUUGAUUCCAUGAUAUAAAG